rnacentral:lncRNA from 1 species
CAAAACGAGCUAUUUCCAAAUUUUUAUUUGGCUAAAAUAUAUAAAAUUUUACUGUCAAAACUCGAAUUUUCAUUUUUUCUUCCUAUCAUUUAAAAACAUACAGAUGUCACGCCCCGGAUUAUUCGUUUCCCCGGACACGCCCACAAAUCCGUCGUAUAGCUGUACCUAUAAUCACACAACUAGGGGUGGAAACGAGCCGAGCUCGAGCGAGCUUACGUCAGCUCAAAUUCGGCUUGAAAUUAAUUUCGAGCCUAAAUCUAGGCUCAAGCUCGGCUUGAAAUUAAUUCGAGCCGAGCUCGAGCGAGCCUAAUUUCGAGUCGAACCGAGCUCGAGCUCUAAACGAGCCGAUUGAAAUUCUCAACAUUAUAUAAUCAAUAGCUUAAUUUUUAUAGAACAUUACUUACAAUUUGAUGCAAUAUGUCCAAUAGUUCAAAAUACAAAAUAAUUGCAAGAAAUGUGAGCUAGGGUGACUGCCUGACUGGGUGAGGGUCUGAGAGAGAGAGAGAGAGGGGGGGGGGGGGAAGGGAAAUUAGGGAUUUGAAAAUUUGAAUGUUAUCAUAUUUUAGGGUUAUGUGCAACAGUGAAAGUCUAAAAGAGAGAGUGUGUUAUGUAAAUUUAAAGUUGGGCUGAAUUGCACGGUUGUACUUGUUGGGUUUAUUUUAUGGGCCAAUAAUAAUGGCCCAAAUUAAAUUAAAAUACAUUAUAAAUAAAUAAAUAUAUAUAUAUAUAUAUAUAUAUAGAGAGAGAGAGAGAGAGAGAGAGAAUUAGGCUGGAAUACUAUUAAUAGUAAAAUGCUCUUUUUGCUAUCAAGUUUUUAACCCUUGGAUGAAAAAUUGUAAGGUCGGAACGAUAUUAGUCGGUUAGAGUUGAGUGGUCCUCCUAGGGUUGAGUGGUCCCACUGGAUUAUAGUAUUUAAUCCAAUAGUUAGAAAUAAUGAAAAGAGUUGAUCCAAAGGCUAAAAAACUGGUAGCAACAAUGGAAUUUUGCUACUAAUAGUAGCCCAGUCCAACUAUAUAUAUAUAUAUUCGAGCUUUUCGAGCUUUUCGAGCCUGAUUCGAACGAGCCAAGUAAUACUCAAGCUCGGCUUGAAAUGAAUUUCGAGCUUUUUAUUUUGUUCAAGCUCGGCUCAUUUAAUUUCGAGUCGAGCUCGAGCGAGCCGAAUAUCGAGCCGAACACGAGUCGAACGCGAGCCGGCUUG